GAUGAACGCUGGCGGCGUGCCUAACACAUGCAAGUCGAGCGAUUUACUUCGGUAAAGAGCGGCGGACGGGGUGAGUAACGCGUGGGUAACCUGCCCUGUACACACGGAUAACAUACCGAAAGGUAUGCUAAUACGAGAUAAUAUACUUUUAUCUCAUGGUAGAAGUAUCAAAGCUCUGGCGGUACAGGAUGGACCCGCGUCUGAUUAGCUAGUUGGUAAGGUAACGGCUUACCAAGGCGACGAUCAGUAGCCGACCUGAGAGGGUGAUCGGCCACAUUGGAACUGAGACACGGUCCAAACUCCUACGGAGGCAGCAGUGGGGAAUAUUGCACAAUGGGCGAAGACCUGAUGCAGCAACGCCGCGUGAGCGAUGAAGGCC
rnacentral:rRNA from 1 species